AAUAGGGGUUGAUCUCUGUCUCUGCGCGAGUGCGCGGGUAAAAACCACCCAUCGAUGUUCUCCACUAAACCCUAAUCGACAGUGGAGUUGGGGUUUUGGGCUUAAAUAAGCUGUAAAUUUGUUUCAAAUUCUGGAAUCUCGGAGCGCGCCAGAGUUUCUGAGUAAUAAAUCGGAGAUGUCUGAAAAUAAGCUCCACGGCGAUGCUGUGGAAAACCCUAGACUCACCUGGGACGGUUGCAGCGUCUUGCUUGACAUCAACGACGGCGACCGUUUGGUUUUCUCGCGCCUCUCCGCCGGAGCAAAAUUGAAAAUUGGGAAUAAGAAUUGCUCCCUGCAGCCCUUGAUUGGCUGCCCCUUCGGUUCCUUUUUUCGAGUCGAAAACGGAGCACAAGGGCCUUAUUUGUCAAGAUAUACUCCCUCCAAUGAAGGCAAUAGUAUUCAAGAACAAGGGGAUUGCCAAUCGAAAGACGAGUUAAGAGAUAAUCGAGCAUUGGUUGAUAAUAAUAAAGCGCAAAGCCUAACGGGGGAUGCCAUCAAUGAGAUGCGACGACAGGGCGCAAGUGGUGAUGAAAUAGUUGAAGCUCUCAUUGCCAACAGUGCGACGUUUGAGAAAAAGACACUGUUCUCACAGGAGAAAUAUAGGCUUAAGAAGCAAAAAAAGUAUGCUCCCAUUGUACUUCUCAGGCGGCCUUUCACUAGAAGUAUAUGUGAGGCGUACUUGAAGAAAUAUCCGGUUAGAAUUGGAUUCUUGCGGAUGGAUACGUUAUGUCUGCUGCUUUCCAUGGCUAAUGUUUCUGCUAAUUCCGAUGUCCUUGUAGUCGACAUGGUUGGAGGGCUUCUUACUGGUGCUGUGGCAGAGCGUUUAGGAGGUACAGGUUAUGUCUGCAAUACAUAUCCUGGUGGCUCACCUUAUCCUAUGGAUAUAGCGAGGAUAUUCAACUUUGGAGAAGAAAUUUGCAAGAGGAUUGUGAGGUCUCCUCUGGCUGACCUUUUCUCCGUCCAGACUGAAAAGUCAAAAGUCUCGAGUCACAAUGGGGACUCUUGUAGCAUGGAAAUUGAAUCAAAUGAACAAAUAUCUUCAACGGCUGGCACGGAAGAAGUUUCUCUUGCGUCUGAGAAUAUGAUGUCAGAUCUUAUUCCUGAAACUACCUAUUCUGUAGAAAGAAAAUCGAGCAAAUCUGCAAAACUAGGAGAAAAAGCACCACAUGAAAUCUUCAGCUUGUGGAAAGAGAAUGGCUUCACUAGUUUAAUAAUAGCAGCACCAGAGCUGGAUACGUGGAGUCUAGUUAAAAAGAUAUUGCCACUUCUGUCAAAUUCUGCUCCUUUUGCUAUUUAUCACCAGUAUCUUCAGCCGCUCGCAACAUGCAUGAACAAUCUACAAGUGGGGAAAAUGGCAGUUGGCUUGCAAAUUUCAGAACCUUGGUUACGUGAAUAUCAGGUACUUCCAUCAAGAACCCAUCCAUGUAUGCAGAUGAAUGGAUUUGGUGGGUACAUUCUCAGCGGGACCAAGAUAUGUACCAACAACUGAUUGAUUCUAUACAAUAAAGUCGAUAACGAGAGAAUGGAGUUAUUUUGCCACCAAGCAAAGGAAAAAGCAGCUCAUUAUACGAAUAACCACACUGUGAAUGGUGACUACUUGAGUACUUGUUACAUGGACAUUCGCUCGCAAAACCACUGGCUUCCAAUGGUGGUAGAUUAUGUUAUAUUCACAAAACAUACUGGAAGACACAUUACGGAUCUGCAAAAAAGAAAAAAGAAAAGGUUUAAGACUCCAGGCCUACCGGCCCAAGCCCAAAUUCCGUUCCCUCUUGCCACCUAAACCGACCCAGGAAAUAAGGUAGAAGUAUGGGCUAUCAGCCACACCGCACUCUCCGGUGGUCAGAUGCGUCCGUCAACAAUUCCAAACCGUCCUCCUACACAGUCCCACAGAAGCGACGAAACGCGAAGAGCUAGUCCUCUCUAACCCCUACGAGAAAAGCCCAAAGAUCGUCACCGUCGUCUGCUGAAAGAAAGAAAACACUAGCAGAACCUAGGGUUUUUUACUCUCUUUUUUAUCUUUUGCUCAAUAACAAUUAAUACGAAUGAGCUCAUCAAUUUCAACCA